GGGGACUUAGCUCAGUGGUAGAGCGCUUGCCUAGCAAGCUCAAGGCCCUGGGUUCAGUCCCCA
rfam:Rattus norvegicus chromosome 2, whole genome shotgun sequence.